UUGGAGGGCAAGUCUGGUGCCAGCAGCCGCGGUAAUUCCAGCUCCAAUAGCGUAUAUUAAAGUUGUUGCAGUUAAAAAGCUCGUAGUUGAAUUUCGGGGUCAGUAGGUUGGUCAUGCCACUGGUAUGUACUGGUCUCACUGAUUCCUCCUUCCUGAUGAACUGUAAUGCCAUUAAUUUGGUGUUGCAGGGAAUCUGGACUGUUACUUUGAAAAAAUUAGAGUGUUUAAAGCAGGCUAACGCCUGAAUACAUUAGCAUGGAAUAAUGAAAUAGGACGUUCGAUCCAAUUUUGUUGGUUUCUAGGAUUGACGUAAUGAUUAAUAGGGAUAGUUGGGGGCAUUAGUAUUCAAUUGUCAGAGGUGAAAUUCUUGGAUUUAUUGAAGACUAACUACUGCGAAAGCAUUUGCCAAGGAUGUUUUCAUUAAUCAAGAACGAAAGUUAGGGGAUCGAAGACGAUCAGAUACCGUCGUAGUCUUAACCAUAAACUAUGCCGACUAGGGAUCGAAUGAUGUUAAUUUUUUAAUGACUCAUUCGGCGCCUUACGGGAAAC
rnacentral:rRNA from 1 species